rnacentral:rRNA from 1 species
UACGUAGGGGCCGAGCGUUGUCCGGAGUUAUUGGGCGUAAAGCGCGCGCAGGCGGCCUCGCGCGCCCGACGUGAAAGCCCCCGGCUUAACCGGGGAGGGUCGUUGGGGACGGCGGGGCUUGAGGGCGGAAGAGGGUGGUGGAAUUCCCGGUGUAGUGGUGAAAUGCGUAGAGAUCGGGAGGAACACCCGUGGCGAAGGCGGCCCCCUGGGCCGACCCUGACGCUGAGGAGCGAAAGCGUGGGGAGCGAACAGG